rnacentral:misc_RNA from 1 species
AAGAGUACGUUGCCCUUACGGGUAGACCUCCCACCCUUGAUUAGUUACCUUUGUUGCUUUGGCAGGGCCGCGCCUGCGCGGAGGCCACUCGGGCUUCUGCGUGCCUGCCCGCCAGAGGACCUAAACUCUUGUUUUGGUGAUAUUGUCUGAGUAGCUAUAUAAUAGUUA